CCUACGGGGGCUGCAGUGGGGAAUAUUGGACAAUGGGGGGAACCCUGAUCCAGCCAUGCCGCGUGUGUGAAGAAGGCCCUCGGGUUGUAAAGCACUUUCAGUGAGGAAGAACGCCUGGUGGUUAAUACCCAUCAGGAAAGACAUCACUCACAGAAGAAGCACCGGCUAACUCCGUGCCAGCAGCCGCGGUAAUACGGAGGGUGCGAGCGUUAAUCGGAAUUACUGGGCGUAAAGCGCGCGUAGGUGGCUUGAUAAGCCGGUUGUGAAAGCCCCGGGCUCAACCUGGGAACGGCAUCUGGAACUGUCAAGCUAGAGUGCAGGAGAGGAAGGUAGAAUUCCCGGUGUAGCGGUGAAAUGCGUAGAGAUCGGGAGGAAUACCAGUGGCGAAGGCGGCCUUCUGGACUGACACUGACACUGAGGUGCGAAAGCGUGGGUAGCAAACAGGAUUAGAUACCCGAGUAGUC
rnacentral:rRNA from 1 species